CACGUAGGGCGCAAGCGUUGUCCGGAAUUAUUGGGCGUAAAGAGCUCGUAGGCGGUCUGUUACGUCUGCUGUGAAAACCCGGGGCUUAACCCCUGGCUUGCAGUGGGUACGGGCAGACUAGAGUGCGGUAGGGGAGACUGGAAUUCCUGGUGUAGCGGUGAAAUGCGCAGAUAUCAGGAGGAACACCGGUGGCGAAGGCGGGUCUCUGGGCCGUAACUGACGCUGAGGAGCGAAAGCGUGGGGAGCGAACAGG
rnacentral:rRNA from 1 species